GGACCUCUCGGCCGCGGUGUCAGUCCCUCCCGGAGUGGCUGUGACAGCAGCGGCAGCAACAGCUUCUACGCAGUGCGUGAUGUCUCAACUCUCCCCAGUACCCUCUAGGAUCAGGAACUAAAAUGAUCAAAUGUGAAGCUUUCAGUCUGGAAGUAAAAUGAAAAAGGAUAAAGCAUAAGAAAUUGAGUUGCCAGGAGCACCUUAAACAAGCAAAUCAAAUUUCAAAUAAAUUAAUCUUUACAAUAUCUAACAUUGUGCGUUCAAAAUGAAGAUACAUUCCUAAUCACACUCUCUGAGACCCUGCUGGAGGAACUGAGCUGUGGACCAGAGAUGCUGGAAAGAGAAGAAAAGAAAAGGACAAGAAGGAAAAACCAGAGCAAAAAUGAGAACAAGACAGAGAAGAAUGUGAAGAGCGUGUAAGAGGGCGCUGGGACAACUGGUGGGAGACCGAAAGAGAAAAAGAAUAAGGCUUAAUAUGGAGGGGUCAGUGACAAGAGAAAAGGCUUACAUCUGAAAGGAAAGAAAGAAAUGCAUUUAGUGGGAAAUAGAAAAGCACCUGGAUUAUUUGCCUCAGUUUCUGCUCACAGAGAUUGUUGUAAGUAGCUACCUGUCCCUUGGUGUAGGCAUUUGAUUUUAAAAAUCCCUGUCAUUCUCGCUGAAGUGCUAACAAAAAGUAAGGAACUUGGUGGAGGGCUGGGAAACUUUUAAUUGAGGGUAAUGUUCCUUGAAUAGAUACGGUCUAUCUGGAAUUAGAGUAAAGGUAUUACAUGUUGUCGUUCUUGCCUCUCAAGAUGGUAGAGGGGAAGACGUCUGGGGGGACACUUGAUGCCAUUACUGUGUGAAAAAUGCUUUGAAUUAUGGUAGGAUUUUAGAAAUCCUGGCUCAUUGUUUUCUAUUUGACCUCCAUAAUGGAGAUCAAACUUGGUGUUUUUUCCCUGUGGUUAGCCAGCAUCAAUGCCUUUGUCUUCCCCACCUCAGAUACCUCAAGGAAGACAUAGUUGUAGUGAUAUAUUUUAUUCUCACUCACUCCUACUUAAGACCUUGAGAGAUUGUGAGGUUCUGGUUCUGCCUAAUGGUGCAUUCAGGAGACCUGAAUUCUGGUUUCAACUGGCACUAAUUAGUUAUAACAUGUCUAUUGAUUCUUUCAUAAUCUAACAAAAAUGUGUCCAUCUCUAAUUAUGUUAGGUACUUGGAGUAAGAAUAUUUAGCCCCUGACAUCAAGGAUGUCACAGACUAAUGAGAAAUAAAAUCUGAAAACUG